UUCGUGAGAAACAAUCAAAGGAGUUUUUAUGGCAACUGGAGGACAUCAGACAGCGGUAUGAACAACAGGUGCUGGAGAAGUGUUUUGAAGUGUUAAAUGGGAAGAUAGCCGCAGGAGAUAGCACCUGCUUCCAGCCUUGCUUCAUCUAUCAGCUUGCUAAUCACAGCUGUACUUCCAGCCUUCUGCUCUCCCUGUAUCAUGAGCUUCGGGAGCUUCAGCAGGCAGUAGUCCUGGCUGUUGAUGGUCGGCUGGAGAGGAAAAGGAAUGAAGAAGCAGUGUAUGCUGGCAGGCCCUGGUACCAUCUCUAACAGCGGUUAUCACAGCAACAUUAAACUUUUAAAUAAGGAGAACGUCCAUGCGUAAACUCAACUGUUGAUUGACAGAUUUCAUGGAUGGCCCUUUUUGUUGUAGCAAAUAUCUAAUCUGGGAGCCACAUGGCCAUCCCCAAAUGACACAUUCUAUUUCUGUUCUUGACACACUGCCUGCUUUUUAUAAUUUUUUUGUGCCUAUUUCUAUUAAAGUGUUCAGAAAGUAAGA
rnacentral:sRNA from 1 species